rnacentral:rRNA from 1 species
AACCAUCUAGUAGCUGGUUUCCUACGAAGUUUCCCUCAGGAUAGCUGGAGCUCACGCGCGAGUUUUAUCGGGUAAAGCAAAUGAUUAGAGGCAUCGGGGGCGUAACGCCCUCGACCUAUUCUCAAACUUUAAAUAGGUAAGAGGGUGCGGCUGCUCCAUUGAGCCGCGCCGUGGAAUCGAGAGCUCCAAGUGGGCCAUUUUUUGGUAAGCAAACUAGCGAUGCGGGAUGAACCGAAAGUCGAGUUAUGGUGCUGGAUUGCACGCUAACCUAGAUCCCACAAAGGGUGUUGGUUGAUUAAAACAAUAGGAUGGUGGUCAUGGAAGUCGAAAUCUGCUAAGGAGUGUGUAACAACUCACCUGCCAAAUCAACUAGCCCCGAAAAUGGAUGGCACUGAAGCACGCAACCUAUACUCGAUCGUCGAAGAAAUUGCCUGGCUCUGGUGAGUAGGAGGAGGGGGUCGUUGAGAAACCUCGGGCGUGAGCUUGGGUGGAUCGGCCCCCGGUGCAGAUCUUGGUGGUAGUAGCAAAUAUUCAAAUGAGAACUUUGAAUACUGAAGUGGGGAAAGGUUCCAUGUGAACAACACUUGGACAUGGGUUAGUUGAUCCUAAGAGAUGGGGAAGCCUUGUAUCAAGGGUGCACUCUGCACGAGCAUCGAAAGGGAAUCAGGUUAAUAUUCCCAAAUUGGGACAUGGUGGCGGGCGGCAUCGUUAGGAAAUACAGAGACGUCGUUGGGGGCCCCGGGAAGAGUUAUCUUUUCUUUUUAACAGCUUUCCCACCCUGGAAUCCGUUCACCCGGAGAUAGGGUCCAGCAGCUAGAAGAGCACCACACGUCUUGCAGUGUCUGGUGUGCCCUCUGUGGCCCUUGAAAAUCUGGAGGACGGAGUACCGUUCAUGGCUGGUCGUACUCAUAACCGCAUCAGGUCUCCAAGGUGAACAGCCUCUGGUCAAUAGAACAAUGUAGGUAAGGGAAGUCAACAAAACGGAUCCGUAACUUCGGGAAAAGGAUUGGCUCUGAGGGCUGGGCCUAGGGGUCUGCGCCCUCAACUUGUGGGCUGUCGGCAGUCUGCCCGAGCUGCUCUCACUGCGAGGGCGGGCAGUCGCGUGCCGAUUGGGCUACGGGCGUAGAAUGCCCCCUGCCGGGGGCUUUUCCCUAGGCGUCGAACAGUCAACUCAGAACUGGUACGGACAAGGGGAAUCCGACUGUUUAAUUAAAACAAAUUCAACCAAGCGCGGGUAAACGGCGGGAGUAACUAUGACUCUCUUAAGGUAGCCAAAUGCCUCGUCAUCUAAUUAGUGAUGGGCAUGAAUGGAUUAACAAGAUUCCCACUGUCCCUAUCUACUAUCUAGCGAAACCACAGCCAAGGGAACGGGCAUGGCAGAAUCAGCGGGGAAAGAAGACCCUGUUGAGCUUGACUCUAGUCCGACUUUGUGAAAUGACUUGAGAGG